CCUGAGAUGAGCCGUGUUACUGAAUAUAUGUCUGUGAGUAGGAACACAAAGCAAGAAGAUACAGAGGAAGGUAUUCACUAUGGAUCCAUCUCCUUCCAGCCUAAAGCAACUGGUGGCAACAGCGAUAAUACACUGUCCUCCAAUCAAGCAUCAGGCACUAACCUUGUUUCUUCAAAGGAAGAUGAGUCUGUCAUCUAUGCUGAAACAGCAAAAAAAUAAACAUGAAGAGAGUGGAAAGUAAAGGCUUGGACUUUGACAAGUGCAACGUUGCCAU